rnacentral:rRNA from 1 species
AACACGUGUGCAACCUACCUUUAUCAGGGGGAUAGCCUUUCGAAAGGAAGAUUAAUACCCCAUAAUAUAUUUGAUGGCAUCAUUAGAUAUUGAAAACUCCGGUGGAUAGAGAUGGGCACGCGCAAGAUUAGAUAGUUGGUGAGGUAACGGCUCACCAAGUCCAUGAUCUUUAGGGGGCCUGAGAGGGUGAUCCCCCACACUGGUACUGAGACACGGACCAGACUCCUACGGGAGGCAGCAGUGAGGAAUAUUGGACAAUGGGUGAGAGCCUGAUCCAGCCAUCCCGCGUGAAGGACGACGGCCCUAUGGGUUGUAAACUUCUUUUGUAUAGGGAUAAACCUUUCCACGUGUGGAAAGCUGAAGGUACUAUACGAAUAAGCACCGGCUAACUCCGUGCCAGCAGCCGCGGUAAUACGGAGGGUGCAAGCGUUAUCCGGAUUUAUUGGGUUUAAAGGGUCCGUAGGCGGACUCGUAAGUCAGUGGUGAAAUCUCAUAGCUUAACUAUGAAACUGCCAUUGAUACUGCGGGUCUUGAGUAAGGUAGAGGUAGCUGGAA